GGCCCCUUGGUCAAGUGGUUAAGACAUCGCCCUCUCACGGCGGUAACAGGGGUUCGAAUCCCCUAGGGGUCACCA
rnacentral:tRNA from 1 species